AAUGAACGCUGGCGGCGUGCCUAACACAUGCAAGUCGGAUGUGCCCGCAAGGGUGCAUGGCAGACGGGUGAGUAACGCGUGGGGAAUCUACCUUUUAGUGGGGAAUAACGCUCCGAAAGGAGUGGUAAUACCGCAUGUGACCAUUGGCUGGGAUGUUGAUGGUGAAACCCUGGGACCUUCGGGCCAGGGGCUAAAAGAGGAUCCUGCGUCUGAUUAGCUAGUUGGCGGGGUAACGGCCCACCAAGGCGACGAUCAGUAGCCGGCCUGAGAGGGUGAUCGGCCACACUGGAACUGAGACACGGUCCAGACUCCUACGGGAGGCAGCAGUGGGGAAUUUUGCGCAAUGGACGAAAGUCUGACGCAGCAACGCCGCGUGGGUGAUGAAGGUCUUCGGAUUGUAAAACCCUGUCGCCAGGGACGAAGGGUGAGGUGUGAAUAGCGCCUUACUUUGACGGUACCUGGAAAGGAAGCCCCGGCUAACUCUGUGCCAGCAGCCGCGGUAAAGU
rnacentral:rRNA from 1 species